rnacentral:rRNA from 1 species
UCUAAUACUUCAUAAUAUCCAUCUCGUAUGGAUUAAAGCUUUAUGCGCUUUGGGAGGGGCCUGCGUAACAUUAGCUUGUUGGUGAGGUAAAAGCUCACCAAGGCUUCGAUGUUUAACUGGUUUGAGAGGAUGACCAGUCACACUGGGACUGAGAUACGGCCCAGACUCCUACGGGAGGCAGCAGUAAGGAAUCUUCCACAAUGGGGCAACCCUGAUGGAGCAAUACCGCGUGCAGGAUGAAGCGUUUCGGCGUGUAAACUGCUUUUAUCACCGAAGAUUAUGACUGUAGGUGAAGAAUAAGGACCGGCUAACUACGUG